UACGAAGGGGGGCUAGCGUUGCUCGGAAUCACUGGGCGUAAAGCGCACGUAGGCGGCUUCUUAAGUCAGGGGUGAAAUCCUGGAGCUCAACUCCAGAACUGCCUUUGAUACUGAGAAGCUUGAGUCCGGGAGAGGUGAGUGGAACUGCGAGUGUAGAGGUGAAAUUCGUAGAUAUUCGCAAGAACACCAGUGGCGAAGGCGGCUUACUGGUCCGGUUCUGACGCUGGAGGCGCGAAAGCGUGGGGAGCAAACAGG
rnacentral:rRNA from 1 species